rnacentral:rRNA from 1 species
UGGGGGAUAUUGCACAAUGGGCGAAAGCCUGAUGCAGCGACGCCGCGUGGGGGAUGAAGGCCUUCGGGUUGUAAACUCCUUUUGCUCUGAACAAGGCGCACCAUGGGGUGUGUUGAGUGUAGGGGUUGAUUAGCGCCGGCUAACUACGUGCCAGCAGCCGCGGUAAUACGUAGGGCGCGAGCGUUGUCCGGAAUUAUUGGGCGUAAAGGGCUUGUAGGUGGCUGGUUGCGUCUGUCGUGAAAGCUCAUGGCUUAACUGUGGGUUUGCGGUGGGUACGGGCUGGCUUGAGUGCAGUAGGGGAGGCUGGAAUUCCUGGUGUAGCGGUGGAAUGCGCAGAUAUCAGGAGGAAUACCGGUGGCGAAGGCGGGUCUCUGGGCUGUUACUGACACUGAGGAGCGAAAGCAUGGGGAGCGAACAGG